rnacentral:snRNA from 1 species
GUGCUCUCUUCAGCAGCACGUAUACUAAAAUUAGAGCGAUGUAGAAAAGAUUAGCAUGGUCCCUGUGCAAGGAUGACGUGAAUUGGUGAAGAGUUCCAUAUUUAA